rnacentral:rRNA from 1 species
GAUGAACGCUGGCGGCGUGCCUAAUACAUGCAAGUCGAGCGAACAGACGAGGAGCUUGCUCCUUCGACGUUAGCGGCGGACGGGUGAGUAACACGUAGGUAACCUACCUAUAAGACUGGGAUAACUUCGGGAAACCGGAGCUAAUACCGGAUAAUAUUUCGAACCGCAUGGUUCGAUAGUGAAAGAUGGCUUUGCUAUCACUUAUAGAUGGACCUGCGCCGUAUUAGCUAGUUGGUAAGGUAACGGCUUACCAAGGCAACGAUACGUAGCCGACCUGAGAGGGGGGUCGCGACAAGAGGAAACUAGACGCGUGCCAGAAACCUCCGGGGGGCAGGCGUAGGGAAUGUUCCGAAAUGGGCGAAAGCCUAACGGAUCAACCCCGGGUAAGUGAUAAAGGUCAUCGGACCGUAAAACUCUGUUAUUAAGGAAAAACAAACGCGUAAGUAACUGUGCACCCCUUGACGGUACCUAUUCAGAAAGCCACGGCUAACUACGU